GCCCGCGUGGCGCAAUGGUUAGCGCGUCAGACUUUUACGGCAAAGUGAUCUGAAUGUUGCGAGUUCGAGUCUCGCCGUGGGCG